rnacentral:rRNA from 1 species
CCUACGGGAGGCAGCAGUGGGGAAUAUUGCACAAUGGGGGAAACUCUGAUGCAGCGACGCCGCGUGAGUGAAGAAGUAUUUCGGUAUGUAAAGCUCUAUCAGCAGGGAAGAAAAUGACGGUACCUGAUUAAGAAGCCCCGUCUAACAACGUGCCAGCAGCCGCGGUAAUACGUAGGGGGCAAGCGUUAUCCGGAUGUACUGGGUGUUAAGGGGGCGUAGACGGCAGCACAAGUCUGUAGGGAAAUGCCGGGGCUUAACCCCGGAACUGCUUUGGAAACUGUGCAGCUAGAGUGCAGGAGAGGUAAGUGGAAUUCCUGGUGUAGCGGUGAAAUGCGUAGAUAUUAGGAGGAACAUCAGUGGCGAAGGCGGCUUACUGGACUGUAACUGACGUUGAGGCUCGAAAGCGUGGGGAGCAAACAGGAUUAGAUACCCCAGUAGUC